rnacentral:rRNA from 1 species
AGAGCACUGUCUCGGCAAGGGGGGCAUCCCGACUUACCAACCCGAUGCAAACUACGAAUACCGAAGAAUGUUAUCACGGGAGACACACGGCGGGUGCUAACGUCCGUCGUGAAGAGGGAAACAACCCAGACCGCCAGCUAAGGUCCCAAAGUCAUGGUUAAGUGGGAAACGAUGUGGGAAGGCACAGACAGCCAGGAUGUUGGCUUAGAAGCAGCCAUCAUUUAAAGAAAGCGUAAUAGCUCACUGGUCGAGUCGGCCUGCGCGGAAGAUGUAACGGGGCUAAACCAUGCACCGAAGCUGCGGCAGCGACGCUUAUGCGUUGUUGGGUAGGGGAGCGUUCUGUAAGCCGUUGAAGGUGUCCUGUGAGGGGUGCUGGAGGUAUCAGAAGUGCGAAUGCUGACAUAAGUAACGAUAAAGCGGGUGAAAAGCCCGCUCGCCGGAAGACCAAGGGUUCCUGUCCAACGUUAAUCGGGGCAGGGUGAGUCGACCCCUAAGGCGAGGCCGAAAGGCGUAGUCGAUGGGAAACAGGUUAAUAUUCCUGUACUUGGUGUUACUGCGAAGGGGGGACGGAGAAGGCUAUGUCAGCCGGGCGACGGUUGUCCCGGUUUAAGCAUGUAGGCGGAGGUUCCAGGUAAAUCCGGUACCUUGUUAACGCUGAGGUGUGAUGACGAGGCACUACGGUGCUGAAGUAACAAAUGCCCUGCUUCCAGGAAAAUCCUCUAAGCAUCAGUUAACUUCAAAUCGUACCCCAAACCGACACAGGUGGUCAGGUAGAGAAUACCAAGGCGCUUGAGAGAACUCGGGUGAAGGAACUAGGCAAAAUGGUGCCGUAACUUCGGGAGAAGGCACGCUGAUAUGUAGGUGAAGUCCCUGCGGAGGAGCUGAAAUCAGUCGAAGAUACCAGCUGGCUGCAACUGUUUAUUAAAAACACAGCACUGUGCAAACACGAAAGUGGACGUAUACGGUGUGACGCCUGCCCGGUGCCGGAAGGUUAAUUGAUGGGGUUAGCGGCAACGCGAAGCUCUUGAUCGAAGCCCCGGUAAACGGCGGCCGUAACUAUCACGGUCCUAAGGUAGCGAACUUCCUUGUCGGGUAAG